rnacentral:rRNA from 1 species
UACGAAGGGUGCAAACGUUGCUCGGAAUCAUUGGGCGUAAAGCGCACGUAGGCGGCUUGCCAAGUCGGACGUGAAAUCCCUCAGCUCAACUGAGGACGUGCAUCCGAAACUGGCGAGCUUGAGUACUGAAGAGGAUCGCGGAAUUCCCGGUGUAGAGGUGAAAUGCGUAGAUAUCUGGAGGAAUACCGGUGGCGAAGGCGGCAUCCUGGACCGACAUUGACGCUGAACGGCGAAAGCUAGGGGAGCAAACGGG